GAUGAACGCUGACAGAAUGCUUAACACAUGCAAGUCAACUUGAAUUUGGGUUUUUAACUUAAGUUUGGGUGGCGGACGGGUGAGUAACGCGUAAAGAACUUGCCUCACAGCUAGGGACAACAUUUGGAAACGAAUGCUAAUACCUAAUAUUAUGAUAAUAGGGCAUCCUAUAAUUAUGAAAGCUAUAAGCGCUGUGAGAGAGCUUUGCGUCCCAUUAGCUAGUUGGAGAGGUAACGGCUCACCAAGGCGAUGAUGGGUAGCCGGCCUGAGAGGGUGAUCGGCCACAAGGGGACUGAGACACGGCCCUUACUCCUACGGGAGGCAGCAGUGGGGAAUAUUGGACAAUGGACCAAGAGUCUGAUCCAGCAAUUCUGUGUGCACGAUGAAGUUUUUCUGAAUGUAAAGUGCUUUCAGUUGGGAAGAAAGAAAUGACGGUACCAACAGAAGAAGUGACGGCUAAAUACGUGCCAGCAGCCGCGGUAAUACGUAUGUCACGAGCGUUAUCCGGAUUUAUUGGGCGUAAAGCGCGUCUAGGUGGUUAUGUAAGUCUGAUGUGAAAAUGCAGGGCUCAACUCUGUAUUGCGUUGGAAACUGUUUAACUAGAGUACUGGAGAGGUAAGCGGAACUACAAGUGUAGAGGUGAAAUUCGUAGAUAUUUGUAGGAAUGCCGAGUGGUAAGCCAUCUUACUGGACAGAUACUGACGCUGAAUCUCUUAAAGCGUGGUUAGCAAUAUG
rnacentral:rRNA from 1 species